rnacentral:rRNA from 1 species
UACGUAGGGUGCAAGCGUUAUCCGGAAUUAUUGGGCGUAAAGAGCUCGUAGGCGGUUUGUCGCGUCUGCUGUGAAAACCGGAGGCUCAACCUCCGGCCUGCAGUGGGUACGGGCAAACUAGAGUGCGGUAGGGGAGAUUGGAAUUCCUGGUGUAGCGGUGGAAUGCGCAGAUAUCAGGAGGAACACCGAUGGCGAAGGCAGAUCUCUGGGCCGUAACUGACGCUGAGGAGCGAAAGCGUGGGGAGCAAACGGG